UUUCUUGUGACUCAGUUGGUAGAUGAUUGUGCUAACAACGCAUGGUUGUAUGUUCAAAUCCCAGGGAAA